rnacentral:lncRNA from 1 species
AGCGAUACAGCCAAAGAUUUUCCAUGUACACUAAGCUAAAGAAACAAAGGGAUGAGGAAAGGACCAAGAUGAUGUCACCUAAAAAUUACAUUGACAAAGAAGUAUAAUUACAAUAAUAUUACCACCAAGAAAUUUGCUGUAAAAUCCACUAAAAUCGACAAUACUUUCUAUCAUGCCCACUAAGAAUUACAGUGUAAGAUGCAUUAAAAUUACACUGUAAAAUCCACUAAAAUGACACUGUAAAUCUACCAACAAUCCAAAUGGUUUGCACUGAAAAAACUGCUAAGAUUAACUACUAAGAAUUAGAGUGCAAGAUGCAUUAAAGAUGCCACUUUAAAUCCACUAAAAAGACCUUGUAAAUCCAUCAAUAAUCCAAAUGAUUUGCACUAGUGGUUCUAUGUUAUAUGCUACUCAAAAGGGGAACUCAUCCACCAAUUGAGCUAGGACUGUGCACAUGCUGAACCUCACUUGGCAUUGCCUCCCUACACAAAAAAAUCAAAGAGACCAGAAUAGGCAAAGAAAAAAAGCUAAUAAGGAGAAAAGAAAAUGAAAUAGAGGACAAGGAAAAUAAGAACAUACAUUGCCAAAGAAAGCAGUGACAAAGAUUUGUCGCAGCUGUCCAAGGGGCUGAAAAACAUGUCAUUCACAUAUUUGAUCCUAAGAUUUCGAAUACAUUGGAGAAAAGAUUUGCCAUCUAAGUUCUUGGUGUGAAGAUCUCCAUAUACUUCAGAGUGAAGACACCACAAUCAUGCCUGAAAAGUUACAAAGAACACAAAAAAUAAGAAAAGAAGCAUACAAAACAAUCUAUAUAAAAUUAACCAAAAUCAUGUAAGGCAAAAAAACAUAAUACCAAUUCUCUUGCUUAGGAACAACUGUAUACAAGACAUCAAACUCUUCGAUACUAAUUCAUUUGUGCAUCAUAGGAGUGAUAUACUCAGCCCAAAGCCCAAUGAAAUUAUGAAUCUGUUUUCAAACUAAAAAUUAGGAAAGCAUACCAAACUAAUUUACUGUAGAAAACAAAAUUAAGUGCGUUGUAGACGAUAAGGAGGAGCUAUCAGUACAAUUAAAGUGCAUGUUACACUGAAAUAACUAACACUAAAUGCACUAGACACAAAGUGGUGAAUACAGUACAAUGGCACUAAGCUUUACAUAGUACAACAAGUAAGAAUUACGGUGUAAAUCCAAUGAGAAUUACCCUGUAAAAUCCACUAAGAUAAAUUACAGUAUAAAUCCAAUGAGAGUUACACUGUAAAAAUUCACUAAGAUAGUUACAGUGUAAAUCCAAUUUGAGUUUCACUGUAAAAUGCACUAAAGAUAAUUACAGUAUAAAUUCAAUGAAAGUUACAGUGUAAAAUGCACUAAUCCAAUAAGAGCUACAGUAUAAAAUGCACUAAAGAAAAUUACAGUGCAAGUCCAAUGAGAGUUGCAUUGUAGAUGCACUAAGGAUAAUUACAGUGUAAAUCCAAUGGCAGUUACACUGUAAAAUGCAUUAAAGAUAAUUUCAGUGCAAAUCCAAUGAGUUACACUGUAAAAAUGCUCUAAAAAUAAUUACAAUAUAAAUCCAAUGAGAGUUACGUUGUAAAUCCACUAAGAUAAUAGGGGAAUACAACUGAAAUAAACUAAAAAUACAUGGGAAAAAUGCACUAGAACAGAGAGGGAGCAUUUAAAACUAUAUUUGUAGUACAUGAAAGUGGCACAACUACAAAAUCUAACAGAAAUAUACAUAAAAGCUUACAAGAAAAAUCACCAGCUCAUCAUAGAUAUCUCUAUGAUACGUUGAGUUCUCUCCAAACGCUGAGUCAAGAAACAUAAAAGCUCUAUCUUCGAUACACACGACAAACGAAAACCAGCGACCAUCGAGACCAAUAGGGAAGUACAACUGAAAUUAAAAAGAUAGUGAGUAAAAAAAUCAGUAACAAAUCAUGAAAGAGUAGAUCAUGAAACACAAAAGCUCUACUCUUUUUGUAUUGUUUCUGUAUUGCUUUUUUUAACUAAAAAAAUGAACAAACAUAUUCAACCAUGCUUUUCUAACUUGAUUCUUAACAAAAUAAUAGAGCAGGGCAUACUCUUUUACUCAACUACUUCAGGCGCAAAUGAUGUACAAGGUACUAUCAUUGUGAAAUUUAAAUAUAAAACAGCAGGGAAAGAAAUCCUGCAAAAACUUUCCUUAGCUAAUGCAAAAAAUAUUGUUCUACCUUGAGCAGCAACAGGUUGCUACCAAAGCGAAAGAGUAGAUCAGAAUCCACAGAGCACUCUUGUUAUAAACUCAAAAUCAAUAGAUCACUAGAAAAAGCAAUAAGAACAUAUACAGAUGAAUAGAUCCUACACAAAAGCAAAAUCUAACAAGUGUUUUUACACUAUGGUUACAGAGGAACAGAAAAAUAACAUGUGAAACUAAAUUACACUGGCAGAUAAGGAAUUUACAGUGACAGACAAACUGUAAUUACAAUACUAGACCACUAAAAUUUCAGUGGACAGCAAUAGAAAUUACAGUAGUGGACCAGGGUGAAAAAUCCUUUGUAAUUACAGUUUGAAUUACAUCUCUAGACCACUGGAAUUACAGUGUAAGCAAACUGUAAUUCCAGUGCUAGACCACUGGAACUACAGUGUAUUAUAUAGCGAAACCAAUAUGUUCCUGCUCAGAAACCAAAAUGACACUAUGAUUGAAUAUUUGAAACUUUGGAACUUUAUAAAAGGGCAAAUUACUGUCACUUGAACUUAGAAUUACUAUGAUCUUUUAAAUGUAAUUACUAUGAAGAUCGCACUGAAACUAAAGAAAAAAGUUAAGCACUGAUACUACAUGGCACACACAAGAAACCAAAUUUGGACCAUCCUUUGUACCCUCGUUUGACUAAAUAUUACCAGCAGAUUUACCAACCGACGAAUCAUUUGAUGCUUUCUUUGUAGAGUCAAGAGCAAGAGACUUGCAACCUACACAGCAAAACCAAAAUGACGUCAUGGUAAAAAAAUAAAAUAAAGAAACAACCAAAUGCAUGAAAGUAAAUUACAAACAAGAUAGAGAUUGGCUACCUGAAAAAUGUUCAGACCUAAAAAUCCACAUAAUAGACCCUACUCAACUGCAGAGUACAAGGGUAAAAACCAACUAACAGUCCUAGUCAAAUUCACUAAGGGGAGAAUCAACUGAAAAAUUACAGUGUAAGCCCACUGAGAGUUACACUGUAAAUCCAAUAAGAAUUACACUAUAAGAUCCACUAAAGAUAAUACAAAAAUAAUCCACAUAAUAGUCCCUAGUCAAAUGCAGAUUACAAGGGUAAAAACCCGCUAACAGACCCUAGCCAAAAAUACACUAAGAAUUAUAGUGUAAAUACACUGAAAAUUACACCGUAAAAUCAAGAGCUACAGUGUAAAUACAAGAUAAUCCAAGAAUAACUAAUAGUCACUACAAAAAUACUAAGGAUUACAGUGUAACUCCACUAAGAAUUACACUGUAAAAAUCAAGAGAUACAGUGUAAUUCUUAUAGGAUUACAAUGAAAGAUCAACUGAAAACUACAGAGUAAAUCCACUAAGAAUUACAGUGUAGAUCCAUUGCAUUUUAUAGUAUAAAUCCACUAAAAAUACAGUGUAAAUUCACUGAAAAUUACAGUGUAAAUCUAGUAAAAAAAAUCCACCUAAAAUUACAGUGUAAAUUCGCUAAGGAAUUACAGUGUAAAUCCGCUACGAAAUUACACUGUAAAUCCACUAAGAAUUACAGUGUAGAACACUCAGAAAACACACUAUAAAUCCACUAAGAAAACAGGGAUUUCAAAUAGAGCAAUCAAACAUUUACAUAGCUGAAAAUGAAAAGGACAUUCUGUUUCACAGAAACACAAAGAACAGAGCUGAAAUUUGCUAGCAGAACGCACUAGGUACGACAACGAAGGGAUGUACAUCUACAAAAGCUAGCAAAGGAUAAAAAGGGACAUACAAACUUGCAGCCCAGAGUUAAUUCACAAUACAAUUCAGACUGUAGUUACACUGAUACUGAGUGUAAUUGGUGCUGGAAAACGAGUGGAAAAUUUAGAGUAGAUCACUCAAACUUACACAUUACUGAAGUUACAAGACAAAAGCACUCAAAUAUUACAGAGUAGAUCACUGAAACUUACACAUCACUGAAGUUGCAAAGACAGACACAAAAGCACUCGAAAAUUACAGAGUAAGAUGGACUGAUAAAACUUGAAACUACAGUCCAGAAUCACUGACGCUUAACUGGUAAAAUUCAGUCCCAAUCACUCCGAUUUCGCCCAAAGUUACAGCCCAACUCACUGACAAAAACAACUGGCAUCGUACACACAUACAGUCGAAACAUCUACGAGCUAGAUCAACAUUUACAUCCACACAUCUAGGGGUUGUACACAUAUAGGGGCACAUGAACAACUACAGAAACAUUCGGGAGCAUAAAUAAAAAAUAGGCAUAAGGGAACCAAACCCUACAACUAUAUUGAAUCAGGUGUUGCUGCAUCUACAUCUACUAAAUGUUGCUCCAUCUGCAACAAAAAUCAGACAUCUAGGAACCACCACAAACAACCUAAAAGAGCUAGGAUCCACCACUACACACGGGAACAAGCACACCUUUAAGCCAGAUCUAGCAGGAUCCUACAGAAAUUGCAGCGAAAUGAAGACAUGGGGAAAGGAUACUGGCAAGCAAACCUCGUUGUGGGAAGAAGGGAGGCACAAGGCUCGGAGAACACCACAGCAAAAGGAGGAGCAUCACGAAAUCAAUGGAAGCAGAUAAGACACCGCCGCCGAAUCACCAUGCGUCNNN